CCCUUGGCGGGUGCUAUAAUGCAAGUCGAGCGGACUGAUGGGAGCUUGCUCCCAUCAGUCAGCGGCGGACGGGUGAGUAACACGUGGGUAACCUGCCUGUAAGACUGGGAUAACUCCGGGAAACCGGGGCUAAUACCGGAUAACUCAUUUCCUCGCAUGAGGAAAUGUUGAAAGAUGGCUUCUUGCUUUCCCUUACAGAUGGACCCGCGGCGCAUUACCUAGUUGGGGAGGUAACGGUUCACCAAGGCAACAAUGCGUAGCCAACCUGAAAGGGGGAUCGGCCACCCUGGGACUGAAACACGGCCCAAACUCCUACGGGAGGCAGCAGUAGGGAAUCUUCCGCAAGGGACAAAAGUCUGACGGACCACCGCCGCGGGAGUGAUGAAGGUUUUCGGAUCGUAAAACUCUGUUGUUAGGGAAAAACAAGUACCGUUCAAAUAGGGGGGUACCUUGACGGUACCUAACCAAAAAGCCACGGUUAACUACUUGCCACCAGCCGCGGUAAUACGUAGGUGGCAAGCGUUGUCGGGAAUUAUGGGGCGUAAAGCGCGCGCAGGUGGUUCCUAAUCCUGAUGUGAAGCCCACGGUUCACCCGUGGAGGUCUUGGAACGGGGAACUUGAUUGCAGAGAGAAAGUGAAUCCAAGUGUACGUGAAAUGCGUAAUAUUGGAGGAACCCAGUGGCGAGGCACUUUCUGGUCUGUACUGACCUGAGCCGAAGCGUGGGAGCAACAGAUAGUACCUGGUAGUCAGCGUAACGAUGAUGCUACGUAAGGUUCGUCAUAUGCUGCAGCUACGCAUAGACUCGCUGAGUACGUCGCAGACUGACUAAGAUGACGGUCGCAGGUGACAUGAUAUCGAGCACGGAGACUACAGCUGACUCUUGAACUAGAUGCUCCUCGGCAAGUACUGGUCAUGUGUCGUCAGUCGUCUGAUGUGUAGUACGAUAGCACUGACUAGUGCGAUCA
rnacentral:rRNA from 1 species